CACUGGGGACAUUGGGGACAUUGGGGACAUUGGGGACAUUGGGGGCAUUGGGGACAGCUGGAACCUCAGCAAUGCCUGGCACCGCGUCAGCGUCACCGUCACCCGCUGAGGGACACCGGGGACAUCGGGGACAUUGGGGACAUCUGGAACCCCAGCAACGCCUGGCACCGCGUCAGUGUCACCCACUGAGGGACACCGGGGUACGGGGGACAGUGGGGACAGUGGGGGCAUUGGGGACAUCGGGGACAGUGGGGACAUCUGGAACCUCAGCAACGCCUGGCACCGCGUCACCGUCACCCCCUAAGGGACGUCGGGGACAUUGGGGACAGUGGGGACAUUUGGGGGUAUUGGGGACAGUGGGGACAUUGGGAGCAUCUGGAAUCUGUGUGGGGUCCUGAGCAGCACCCGGCACCAGAUCAGCGUCACCAUCACCCGCUGAGGGACAUCAGGGCUUUGGGGUAUUGGGGACAUCGGGACAGUGGGGACAGCGGGGACAGCGGGGACAGUGGGGACAUCUGGAACCUGAGCAAUGCCUGGCACCGCGUCAGCGUCACCCCCUGAGGGACACUGGGGACACUGGGGACAGCGGGGUAUUGGGAUAUUGGGGACAUCGGGGACAUCGGGAACAAUGGGGACAUCAGGGACAUUGGGGUCCCUGGAGAUCUGUGGGAUCUGUGGAUCCUAAAGGGUUCCAUGGCCCCAAAAUGUCCUGCAGACCCCAAAAUGUCCCACAGACCCCAAUGGGUUCUACAGGCCCCCGGCUUCUACUGACCCCAAAAGAUUCCACAGACCCCAAAAGGAUUUUAUGGACUCCAAAGGGUUCCAUGGACCCCAAAAGGAUUUUAGGGCCCCUCAAAGGAUUUUAUGGCCCCCACAAAAGAUUUUAUGGACUCCAAAAGGAUUUUAUGGACCCCAAAGGAUUUUAUGGACCCCAAAGGGAUUUUAUGGACUCCAAAAGGAUUUUAUGGACCCCAAAGGGUUCUGGAGACACCAAAGAUCUCUGCGGCCCCGAAGGGCUCUGCAGGUUCCUGCAGCUCGAAGGUCAGCGGGGUUUUAUGGCCCCGGGGUUUUAUGGCCCCACACUUUUAUGGCCCCACACUUUUAUGGCCCCACACUUUUAUGGCCCCGGUUUUACACCCCGAUGUGUGAAAGUGCCUCCUGCCAUAAAGAUUUGGGAACUUUUA